GAUGAACGCUGGCGGCGUGCUUAAUACAUGCAAGUCGAACGAGGAACUUUUGUCUUCGGAUGAGGGUUUCCUAGUGGCGAGCGGGUGAGUAACGCGUUGGUGACCUGCCUCGAAGUGGGGGAUAACAGUUCGAAAGAGCUGCUAAUACCCCAUGGUAUCCUCAGGGUUAGACACCUGUUGAUUAAAGGAGUAAUUCGCUUCGAGAGGGGCCUGCGUCCCAUCAGCUUGUUGGUAGGGUAACGGCCUACCAAGGCUAUGACGGGUAGGGGACCUGAGAGGGUGGCCCACCACAAUGGCACUGAAACACGGGCCAUACACCUACGGGUGGCAGCAGUAGGGAAUAUUGGACAAUGGGCGAAAGCCUGAUCCAGCAACGCCGCGUGCGCGAUGACGGCCUUCGGGUUGCAAAGCGCUUUUAGAGGAGAUGAGAAAGGACAGUAUCCUCUGAAUAAGCCUCGGCGAACUACGUGCCAGCCGCCGCCGUAAUAC
rnacentral:rRNA from 1 species